CAUAGGCAAAGGGAUCAGACAACUAAGUGGCCAAGAGAAAGAGAAGCCAAGGAAGAAACCAGAGAAAAGCAGUUGGAGAAGCAAGAAGGCAACCAGAAGUGGCCUUGGUACAGCUGUGAUGGGGAGACAAUGACGAAACAGCAGGAACUGGCACUGAGAGUUAUUGGUGUAGCUUGGGCUCUCCCCUCAUCAUCCUCUCCAGCUGGGAGUCAUGUGACAGAAGCAAGAAGCCUGUCACAGCGCACAUGUAAAAGAGCAAACUCCAGACACACACGUCUUAUCUGUGCUGACGGCCCACCUUGGUGACUGGAAAUGACACCAUCCAAUUUUUUCUGGCCGCAAUGUUGCACCCCUGAUUUUUUCCUUCAUAUGACAGACUUCACAGCAAAUACUCCUACUGAGUCCAAACAACCGCUACGAUUGAGAACAAGCAUGAAUCCGCCACCCACCUUCUCCUGGAAAUAAGGUUAUUGGGUUGCUGAACUCCCAUGAACCAAAAAGAAAACACUGAAUGGUAUCCAAACCAGCCUGGAAAGGACAGCGAGAAAAGCCAGAACCAAGGCUGACCAGCCUGAAUGCUGAUUUCUCUAUUCAUGCUACUCAACAUCCCAAAAAGAAUCAGCAUAAGGCCACAAACUCAACAAAAUUCCUUCUCCUGUUCAUUAAACUCCUGUCCUGACUCCAAGUUCACACCUAAAUAAACAGGCAAGCCUGUGCUCUGCACCCUGAGGAACAGUCUCCUAGGCUUUGUCCUUGCAGAGAGCCCAUUUCCAAGGACAGGCCGUCCAUCUACCCAGCUUUUCUCAAGGCCACAUAGCUCCUCUCUAAAGACAGCCAUCCCCAGGGGUUCAGUUGAUCCUGACAGCUGCGCCUACAGAGAAAGAAGGGAAGAGAGAUGGGAGAGGAAGAUCUCCCAGGAGUCAGGAUGCAAGGUGAAGCCAGCUGUUGAUCAGCGGUCACUCAGCAGCUAGACCAUGCGACACUCUCCUUCUGAAGGCUGCAGGCUGUGAGAGUGUUCUGAGUGGCAUUUAAGGAUAGCUCCCAUGCAGCGUGCCAGCUUCGGCAGGGCCUCCUAUGGUAAGCCCUAAAACACAGAGGGAAAAGAAUAACCAAGUGGAAGUGGAUCAUCAUGCCAUCUAUCAGAGACAAUGCAUGUGAGAAUGCUGCUACUAAAUGAAUGAAAAACGCUUUGUAAACUCAAAGUCUGUGGUUCUCAAACUUGAGCAUGUAUCUUUUUUUUUUUUUUUAAAUUAAAACGCUGAUUUACUUGGCCUUA
rnacentral:lncRNA from 1 species